rnacentral:rRNA from 1 species
UGGGGAAUUUUGGACAAUGGGGGGAAACCCUGAUCCAGCCAUCCCGCGUGUGCGAUGAAGGCCUUCGGGUUGUAAAGCACUUUUGGCAUGAAAGAAACGUCGCGGGUUAAUACCCCGCGAAACUGACGGUACCUGCAGAAUAAGCACCGGCUAACUACGUGCCAGCAGCCGCGGUAAUACGUAGGGUGCAAGCGUUAAUCGGAAUUACUGGGCGUAAAGCGUGCGCAGGCGGUUCGGAAAGAAAGAUGUGAAAUCCCAGAGCUUAACUUUGGAACUGCAUUUUUAACUACCGGGCUAGAGUGUGUCAGAGGGAGGUGGAAUUCCGCGUGUAGCAGUGAAAUGCGUAGAUAUGCGGAGGAACACC